rnacentral:rRNA from 1 species
GACAGAGGUGGCAAACGUUGUUCGGAAUUACUGGGCGUAAAGCGCGUGUAGGCGGCCCUGCAAGUCGGAUGUGAAAUCCCACGGCUCAACCGUGGAAGUGCAUUCGAAACUGCAGGGCUAGAGUCCUGGAGAGGAAGGUGGAAUGCUUGGUGUAGAGGUGAAAUGCGUAGAUAUCUGGAGGAACACCGGUGGCGAAGGCGGCAUCCUGGACCGACACUGACGCUGAUGGCGCGAAAGCCAGGGGAGCAACGGG